rnacentral:rRNA from 1 species
GAUGAACGCUGGCGGCGUGCCUAAUACAUGCAAGUCGAGCGAACAGACGAGGAGCUUGCUCCUCUGACGUUAGCGGCGGACGGGUGAGUAACACGUGGAUAACCUACCUAUAAGACUGGGAUAACUUCGGGAAACCGUAUCUAAUACCGGAUAAUAUAUUGAACCUCAUGGUUCAAUAGUGAAAGACGUUUUUUCUGUCACUUAUAGAUGGUUCCUCGCCGCAUUAGCUAGUUGGUAAGGUAACGGCUUACCAAGGCAACGAUGCGUAUCCGACCUGAGAGGGUGAUCGGCAACACUGGAACUGAGACACGGUACAGACUCCUACGGGAGGCAGCAGUAGGGAAUCUUCCGCAAUGGGCGAAAGCAUGACGGAGCAACGCCGCGUGAGUGAUGAAGGUCUUCGGAUCGUAAAACUCUGUUAUUAGGGAAGAACAAAUGUGUAAGUAACUAUGCACGUAUUGACGGUACCUAAUCAGAAAGCCACGGCUAACUACGUG